CAUGCUGUAAACGGUGGNCGCUAGGUGUGGGCUGUGUGUUUGCAGUCUGUGCCGUAGNUAACGCAUUAAGCGCCCCGCNUGGGGAGUACGGCCGCAAGGCUAAAANUCAAAGGAAUUGACGGGGGCCCGCACAAGCGGCGGAGCAUGUGGAUUAAUUCGAUGCAACGCGAAGAACCUUACCUGGGUUUGACAUGCACCAGAUCGGCGUAGAGAUACGUCUUCCCUUGUGGUUGGUGCACAGGUGGUGCAUGGUUGUCGUCAGCUCGUGUCGUGAGAUGUUGGGUUAAGUCCCGCAACGANNNCAACCCUUGUCUUAUGUUGCCAGCACAUUUUUGGUGGGGACUCAUGAGAAACUGCCGGGGUCAACUCGGAGGAAGGUGGGGAUGACGUCAAAUCAUCAUGCCCUUUAUACCCAGGGCUUCACACAUGCUACAAUGGUCGGUACAACGGGUUGCGACACUGUGAAGUGAAGCUAAUCUCUCAAAGCCGGCCUCAGUUCGGAUUGGGGUCUGCAACUCGACCCCAUGAAGUCGGAGUCGCUAGUAAUCGCAGAUCAGCAACGCUGCGGUGAAUACGUUCCCGGGCCUUGUACAC
rnacentral:rRNA from 1 species